UACAGAGGUCCCAAGCGUUGUUCGGAUUCAUUGGGCGUAAAGGGUGUGUAGGUGGCGCGCUAAGUCGGGUGUGAAAUUUCGGAGCUUAACUCCGAAACUGCAUUCGAUACUGGCGUGCUUGAGGACUGGAGAGGAGACUGGAAUUCAUGGUGUAGCAGUGAAAUGCGUAGAGAUCAUGAGGAAGACCAGUGGCGAAGGCGGGUCUCUGGGCCGAAAUUGACGCUGAGGAGCGAAAGCGUGGGGAGCAAACAGG
rnacentral:rRNA from 1 species